CACUCCCCAUUAUUCACCUGUCCAUUCAACGCCAUACUUGGAAUUCCAGUUCUCAAAGAGUUAAACCAUUCACUCAAGUUAGAUUGGUUUCAACAUCCAGCUUUAAUAUGCUGUGCAAGACACACCCAGAGCAUUCCUUGCAUGGUUACCAAUGCGGCUCCUCCCUUGUUAAAAGGCCAGAAUUAUAAUAUCUGUCUGAAACAAUAGACAGGUGGAAUUAUGUUUGCUCCAGGAGCGAGAGUAAAGUCGAAUACUCCAGCAACAGCUGAUGGACUUUAAAAUAAAAUUGAUUUGCUGCUUAACCUGCUGCACUUUCCCAGAACUUUCUGUCUCAUCAUUAGCUUCUGCAUUUUUAUAAAUUUUUCAGAUUUUCUCUUAGCUUAAAGCCUUGAGAUUUUCUGGGUCCCUUAGAAUCAUGGACUGCCCCAAGCCUGGCUACAAAAGGAGGAGACCCCUGGGCACAGGGCUAGCAACCCCAUCCCGUGAUAACCCAGAGUUAUGAAAACACCAGCAGAAGCACAAAGACCUCAUCCCUGGGACAGGAAGGAUACACCAAGAUGGGCUACACCUGGGGACAACUUGAAAGACUGACCCAGUGAGCUGCUGCCAGUGGCCUGUGCCCCAGCAGGGGUGAUAGGCUUAAAUAAAUCGGAAUCAUGGCAUACAUGGCAAUAUGUUUGACUUUUGUCCAAGUGUGGUGCCUUUCCCAAAUCUGGAUCCUGUGGGCAGUAUUCUAUCCCUCCAAGUCCUUUUUAAAGAUGGUAAGGAGAAAUUGUGUUGGUGAGUGGUAUCCAGACUGCAAAAGAUCAACGUGCUUUGUCAUUUCAGACAGAAUAUUUUGUCAUUCCUCUCAUAGUCAAUCAAUCAGACAAUGAUAAAACAAAUUGUCAAAUCCAUCCUGAAAUCCAAAUGGGUAAGAUUCACUGCUUUGCUUUUGCCUAUUGGUUGUGUAACAUUCUCAAGAAAAUUCAGCAUAAUCCUAAAAUACAGUUUAUCUUCUAAAGUCCAGUGCUGAUUGUCCUAUCUUUUACUGUUGAUAACAGCUUGGAUUUAUUUAACACAUUCACCACAGCAACCGGUCUCAAGGUGCUUAAGUUCAAAUAGCCUUCAGCAUUUAUACACUUUCGUAAGACCAGGAGACGAUAAGACACCAGAGCAGAAUUAGUCCACUUGGCCCAUUGAGUCUACUCCACCUUCUCAUCAUGGCUGAUUCAUUAUUCCUCUCAACCUCAUUCUCCUGCCUUUUCUCCGUAACCUUUCACACCCUUACUAAUCAAUACCUUAUCAAGAUCCGUUUUAAAUAUAUCCAAUGACCUGGCCUCCACAGCCAUCUGUGGCAAUGAAUUCCACAGAUUCACCACCCUCUGGCUAAUGAAAUUUCCUUCUAACAUCUGUUUUAAAGGGAUGUCCUUCUAUUCUGUGGCUGUGC